rnacentral:piRNA from 1 species
UGUGCUUGGCUGUUGGUGCACAUGGU